GACGAACGCUGGCGGCGUGCUUAACACAUGCAAGUCGAACGGAAAGGCCCUGCUUUUGUGGGGUGCUCGAGUGGCGAACGGGUGAGUAACACGUGAGUAACCUGCCCUUGACUUUGGGAUAACUUCAGGAAACUGGGGCUAAUACCGGAUAGGAGCUCCUGCUGCAUGGUGGGGGUUGGAAAGUUUCGGCGGUUGGGGAUGGACUCGCGGCUUAUCAGCUUGUUGGGGGGGUAGUGGCUUACCAAGGCUUUGACGGGUAGCCGGCCUGAGGGGGUGACCGGCACCAUGGGAAUGGGGAACCGGCCAGAAUUCCUACGGGGGGAAGAGGUGGGGAUUUUGGCAAAUGGGGCGGAGGCCGGUGGCGGAAAGGCGGGGGGCGGAAGGACGGCUUUCGGGUGGUAACCCGCUUUGGCCGGGAACGAGGCGGGGGGACGGGAAAUGGUAAAGGAAGAACGGCCUAAUUAGGU
rnacentral:rRNA from 1 species